rnacentral:rRNA from 1 species
AGAGCGAACGCUGGCGGCAGGCCUAACACAUGCAAGUCGAGCGGCCGUAGCAAUACGGCAGCGGCAGACGGGAGAGUAACACGUGGGAACGCGCCCUUCGGUUCGGAAUAACUCAGGGAAACUUGGGCUAAUACCGGAUACGCCCUUACGGGGAAAGAUUUAUUGCCGAAGGAACGGCCCGCGUCCGAUUAGCUUGUUGGUGAGGUAACGGCUCACCAAGGCGACGAUCGGUAGCUGGUCUGAGAGGAUGACCAGCCUCACUGGGACUGAGACACGGCCCAGACUCCUACGGGAGGCAGCAGUGGGGAAUAUUGGACAAUGGGCGCAAGCCUGAUCCAGCCAUGCCGCGUGGGUGAUGAAGGCCCUAGGGUUGUAAAGCUCUUUUGUGCGGGAAGAUAAUGACGGUACCGCAAGAAUAAGCCCGGCUAACUUCGUGCCAGCAGCCGC